GGACGCCCCGUCAUCCCGAUCUCCAUCGGCAUGGUGAACUUCCCAGAACCACUCUGCGACUUUGGCUCUAGUGUCAACAUUAUGCCCAGGGUAAUCUAUGAAAAAAUCUUUACAUAUCCUUUAUUAGAAACAACCAUGUGUUUGCAGUUUGCAGAUCAGACGUUAAGUUUCCCAAAGGGAAUAUUGAAGAACCUCUGUGUUCAAGUUGGUACCUUGUACGCCCCAGCAAACAUUUAUUGCAUAGUCAAACCAUGGAUCCAGAGAAAUAAGUCAAUAAGUCAAAUCAAGAUGUGCAUGUGUGGCGAAUGAAUGGUGUAUGGUGAUGAUGGUGAUAACAAUGGUGAAUGUCUAAUUCUACUUUUGCUCUUUUGAGGGGAUACAUACCUUUCUUGCUCUUUUGAAACUUUGAGGAGAAUGAGAUGCUCUAUAUUUUUAUUUUUCCUCUCAAGUGGGUAUUUUGUACCUCUAAUUCUACUAUCGGACACUUGUCCAUUUUUACCUCUCGUCUCACUCUUUUUUUUCUUUUGAGGUUCCGGGCACUUGCCCCUUUUUAUUUCCUCGUAUCUUUUUUUAGAGCACCCAUCUCUUGAAAUAAUAUAGCAAGUGGUAGUAACCAAGAUAACUUGAGCAUUUAUUUCACAGGGGAAAAACAGAAAUGUUUUUGGCUAUUCUCUCCCGGAUUAGGAGUAGAAUAUUUUUGAGUAGUUCUCAAGAUGGAAAUGGGUGGAUAUAUGUGGAUGCGUACUUCCAGAGUAGAAGCAGCAUGUGUGAGUGAACGUGCAAGUGAAUCUUGAUUUAACCACAUGACAAGCUCCAAAGGGUCUACACAGCUUGACCACACUCAAUGCUCAUAAGCAGUAAAAAGUAAAUGUGUGGCUCAAAAUCUAGCAAGCAUGUAUAUAUGACUGUGGUAGAAAUUUAAAGUCUCAUCAUACAGGAACUCAUCAUGCAAUAUUUUAAAGAUUUUCAAAGACAAAAUUCUCCAGAAUUUUAGCAUCUCUAGGAACAGAUAAACAGCAGCUCAACCUUCUCAUAUCAUAUCUGUUAACAACUUAGACUUCAGAUCAAGUUUUCUUCCUACAAGUUCAGGUUUAGAGCAAGCUUUAAAUUAUAACAGUUAUGUCUAAACUUGAGAGAGAACUUCAAAUUUUAAAAUUAGGCAGAGCAACUAUUCAUCAUAUCCAUGCUAGAGUUUUAUUAUUAAGAUUCAGUUUAGCAUAGACACUUUAUUUAUUUAUUAAGCACACUAAUCAAA
rnacentral:lncRNA from 1 species